rnacentral:rRNA from 1 species
UGGGGAAUAUUGCACAAUGGGGGAAACCCUGAUGCAGCGACGCCGCGUGGGGGAUGAAGGCCUUCGGGUUGUAAACCCCUUUCAGUAGGGAACAAGGCCAUGAUUGUUGUUGUGGUUGAGGGUACUUGCAGAAGAAGCGCCGGCUAACUACGUGCCAGCAGCCGCGGUAAUACGUAGGGCGCAAGCGUUGUCCGGAAUUAUUGGGCGUAAAGAGCUCGUAGGCGGUUUGUCGCGUCUGCCGUGAAAACCCGAUGCUUAACGUCGGGCUUGCGGUGGGUACGGGCAGGCUAGAGUGCGGUAGGGGUGACUGGAAUUCCUGGUGUAGCGGUGGAAUGCGCAGAUAUCAGGAGGAACACCGAUGGCGAAGGCAGGUCACUGGGCCGUUACUGACGCUGAGGAGCGAAAGCAUGGGGAGCGAACAGGAUUAGAUACCCUGGUAGUCCAUGCCGUAAACGUUGGGCACUAGGUGUGGGGAUUGUUCCACGAUUCCUGUACCGUAGCUAACGCAUUAAGUGCCCCGCCUGGGGAGUACGGCCGCAAGGUUA